ACAAACUUGGUCAUUUAGAGGAAGUAAAAGUCGUAACAAGGUUUCCGUAGGUGAACCUGCGGAAGGAUCAUUAGUGAAUUAAACAUGCUUGGUGUCUUCGCUUCGGCAAGGCCCUUGCUUAAAUCACAUCCUAACACCUGUGAACUGUAAGACGUAUGAUGAGGUCUUUGGCCAAGUCAUCGUCUGCCCAUUUUUAACAAACAAUUAAUGUAACAAACGUAGUCUUAUUAUAACCUAAUAAAACUUUCAACAACGGAUCUCUUGGCUCUCGCAUCGAUGAAGAACGCAGC
rnacentral:misc_RNA from 1 species